AAACUCAACAUAGCAUAUUUAUGGAUUUUUUCAAAUCCAUCGAGGAAAACUAGCCAUUUAAGGCUCAUAACACUUAAAUAUAACUAAUCUAAUAACAAAAAAUGCAAUUUCAAUAUAAAAUCACAAAACCCUAACCCUAACAUGCAUAAAUUUCCCAAAACUCAUCUUAAAAACAACUUUUCAUGAAAUUGAAGUUAUAGAAACCUAAUCUCUUAUCAACUUUCUAAGAUCUACCUAUUAGAUCAAGGAGAAAAGAAUAUUACCUCUUUUCUUGGAGCUUGGAGGUGAGAAAAUCAAAGCUCUAAAACUUAAAUAUACUUUUCUAAACUUCUAAAUAAAAUAAUCUACCUCCAGAUCUUGAAAAACCCAAAGCAAUCUUUUCAAAGAGUUUCUUGCAUGCUCCAACAAUUGAGUGAGAGAAGAAGAAGAAGAGAAAAACCCAAUUAUUUUGGGCAGAAACAAGGGCCUUGGUCCAUUUUGUACCUUUGAUAGUCGAGAUACUUUUGGCUGUCGGAAGCCAUGCUUUCG
rnacentral:misc_RNA from 1 species